rnacentral:rRNA from 1 species
GACGCACGCUGGCGGCGUGCUUAACACAUGCAAGUCGAGCGAGCGGCGAACGGGUGAGUAACGCGUGAGUAACCUGCCCCCUCUCUGGGAUAACAGUUGGAAAUGGCUGCUAAUACCGAAUAAAGGGGGGUGGGCUCGCGGCCUAUAAGCUUGUUGGUGGGGGGAUGGCCUACCAAGGCGGGGACGGGUAGCCGGCCUGAGAGGGUGACCGGCCAAAGUGGCACUGAGUUACGGCCCAGAGUCCUACGGGAGGAAGCAGUGGGGGAUAUUGCACAAUGGGCGAAAGGUUGAUGCAGCGACUCCGCGAGGGGGAUGAAGGUUUUCGGGUUGUAAACCUCUUUCGCGAUCGAACGGGUAGGUGGAGAAGAAGCGCCGGCUAACUACGUGCCAGCAGCCGCGGUAAUUC